rnacentral:tRNA from 1 species
AGGGAAAUAGCUCAGUGGUAGAGCGCAUGCCUAGCAUACGUAAGGUCCUGGGUUCAAUCCUCAGUACCUCCA